UGGUCCGAAGCAUAAGAUACUGUAGAUCUUUGUUCAAAAAUACAAAAAUUAAGAUUCAACGGUUAACAAACUCAAAAUAUCUCAUAUUUUGAACUUGAAGCACCAUAAUUUUUUUGUUGGAUCAUAAAGGUAAGAUAACCUAACAAUGACCAGUAGUGAACACUGAAAAGUCCAAAGCUCAAUAGCGCGAUAAAACAGCAAAGGCUUCUUUGUACAUCCCGUAUCAACUAACAAUGGUUGAUAGUUGAUAGUUGAUACGGGGGAAUAAGUUUUCCAAAAAGAAAAGGAUCGAUUAACUGAUCACGAGCACAUUAGGUCAGGCAAACGCACUUAAAUCCAUGAACAGAGCUCGAACACAA